CCAAUAGCGUAUAUUAAAGUUGUUGCAGUUAAAAAGCUCGUAGUUGAAUUUCGGGAUUGACGUGACGGUCGUACCUUACGGGGUAUGAACUGUCGCCGUUGAUUUCUCACCUUCUGGAGAAGCUCGAUGUCCUUAAUUGGGUGUCUUGCGGAACCAGGACCUUUACCUUGAAAAAAUUAGAGUGUUUAAAGCGGGCAUUUUGCUCGAAUACAUUAGCAUGGAAUAAUAGAAUAGGACGGCAUGGUUCUAUUUUGUUGGUUUCUAGGAUCACCGUAAUGAUUAAUAGGGAUAGUUGGGGGCAUUAGUAUUCAAUUGUCAGAGGUGAAAUUCUUGGAUUUAUUGAAGACUAACUACUGCGAAAGCAUUUGCCAAGGAUGUUUUCAUUAAUCAAGAACGAAAGUUAGGGGAUCGAAGACGAUCAGAUACCGUCGUAGUCUUAACCAUAAACUAUGCCGACUAGGAAUCAGACGAUGUUAAUUUUUUAAUGACUCGUUUGGCACCUUACG
rnacentral:rRNA from 1 species